rnacentral:snRNA from 1 species
AUCACUUCUUGGCCUUUUGGCUAAGAGCAAGUGUA